UGCAUGGUGACAUAGUGGUAAGCAUUGUUGGCUGGCAACAAGAAGGUCCCGGGUUUGAAUCCUGGCCAUUGAUCUACCUGCAU